GCCAUGAUUAGGAGGUCUCCGCAGCCAUGUGGAACUGUCUUCAAGAAUGUCCGUUUAAAACACAAGAGAAGGAAGGUUUCAUCUUAAAUGAUGAUUGGCAGACAGUAGAGACCAGAACAAACCUUUGAGGAUUUGGAUACAGAGUAAACCUGAAGGUGGGUGGUACAAAAAAGAAAAAGAAUGGAGAAGGCCCCUAUUUCACUAAUUUGACUACAUCCAGCAUUAAACCCAAAAGGUCACACAUCCCAGUGCAAGAGGACCCCAGCAUUGGCAGUGAGUCAAAUUCCCUGAGCUUUUCAUGUUCAUUUUCAAUAUUAAUUUAUUUUCCAAAUAGAAGCUGGAAUACUAAAUCAACUAAGAGCAUCCAUCUGAUAAAAGAUAUGCAAAUAUCUUUAUAAAUAUACAGCAUCAUCUAUAAUGUUGACAGGUUAGAUAAAGGGACCAACUUUCACUUAAAACUCUAAAUUCCAAAUAGAGGAUGUAAAUACAGUCACUCUUUUCCCCCAACAUACUCACUCUCUCUCUCUCUCAUACACACUCACACACACACACACACAGACAUGCACAUACAACCUAUUUUAUUUUCAGUUUCACAGAUAGUUAUAAAUUGCAUAUAUUAUUCACAGACUCCUCAACCCCAACCCACCUUCACAUACAAACCAGACUCAAAUAUUGUAGGAACCUCUAAUGCCAAGGCUUGAAUUUAAAAAAUUAAUAGAUUCUCAGAAUUGUCAAAGGUGCUGUGGAAAUGCAAUUAGGGCACAUAUCAUCUUUGGAUGUGUGAAAUAACAACAGUAAAAAGUGUCCAAACAAAAUAAAAACAGCAGCAAGACAAACCUGGUCUAACAUUUGCUAAGCAGGAGCCCACCCCUGCAGCAGCCCAUGGCUACUUCCUGCUCUCCAGCCACGGCCUUUAUCAACAAUUCUUUUCUGUCUCCUUAAUAAAUAAUUGGGGUGUGAAGCCCCAAAGGCAGCGGAAUGUCCCACCUGGGGAAAGCAGGAUGAAUGCACAGAGGCAGCCCUAGGACGGACUGAUGAGUGACUGGCUAGGCAGCUCUCACUUGGUCCAAGCCAGCCUGGAGCUGGAGUCCCUGAGAGAUGACAGAUGGUUCAGCAUCGACUUUUCAAAGGGAAGAAGGGAAGGUUGCUGUGGAGAGACAUCCCAAUUUGCAGUCCUUUUGUUCUUGUGUAUGUGUGAGCUCUGACCUCUUACUCCCUCCUCCUUGUUCUCUUCCUUUCCCUUUCCCCAGAUCUCCUUCUCCACAUCAUUCUAUAAUGCCAAGAGAAAACCAGAAUAAAAAGAAAGAAUAAUCAGGGUCAAAAAGUCAGAGGGCCCAUCUCUGAUCUGUCCUGUGUGGCUGAUGAAGCCUCAGGCUUCAGAGUAUCUGACAAGGCAUCAAUGGAAUCAAUGUGGCUAAAUUAAAACGUGCAGAACAUACCAUGUUUUACACGUAGCUCUUGGGAGAGAGGAGACACGGCCAGCAGGAUCUGAGAGAGCGUGAAAGGCUAAGCUGGUCAGCAAGCCUCCUGGAACUGGCAGACAGGGAGGGCAGCAGGAGCUCCUAAGAACCCAGGCACACAAAUAUGUAGAAAGAAAAACCAACGCAGGUGAACGCUGAUUACAGUGCUCACUGGUCCAAGUUCCAAGGGACUUAUUUUCUGAUUGUAAACAAUGUACUAAUUUUAUAAAAAUUGGAGAAUGUAGGACCCCUAAAACACGGUGGGACUUUUGUGGAAUGGGCGAAUGCAGUCAGGGAGGUGACACUAUAGGCCAGUGAAUGCUCUAUAUCCAAUGCGUGCUUACUGAGCACUCACUACAAGGCACUACCUGUGUUGGGUAUGCAUACUCUGUGCCUUUUGUUAGCCUAAGAACACAGAACACAAUAGCAACUCAAUGCCUAAAAUGAACAAUAACCCAACUGCUGACAGAGGUAUUGACUGCUCCUGGGCUAACGAUUUAGCAUCUUAAUUCCUAUUGAGCUUCAGUGUCCCUUUGAAAUAUCAGCUAAAUCAUUUAGACACUGUUUGAAGUAUAAAUAGGGAUUUUUGAAGUUUAUCUAGCUUACUGAGUAAAGAAUUAAUUGCUGCAUUUACUUAAUGAGGUAGUAUGUCCCAUUAAUUUUUUUUUCCUUUCAGCCAAGUGCAUACAUUUAAUAUUUCACUGUCUGUCUGCUCAACAUUUCUUUUUCAUGAAGCAUAGCUCAAAGAAAUUUCAAUAAUACUGUUUUAAAUUAGCUGCUUCCUGUCAAGUUAAUAAACCUCAGAUACUUAAGUCCCCUACGUACAGUCCCAAGUCUCCUGUUCAAGGCUAAUUCUCUUUGCUUCUCCCAUCUCCAUGGCCACCUCUCUGCCUAAAGCCCAUAGAACUAUAACGAUGAACUAGAGGGUUCAUCUGCAUGGCAUUGCAAUUAUGAUAAUAGCUGAUACUUACAUGGCAGUUACUAUGUGCCAAGAUCUGUUGUAAGUGCUUUACACACAUUAACUCAUUUAACCUUCACACAACCUUAUAAGGUAGGAACUAUUAUUAUCCUCAUUUUACAUGUCUAGAAGGUCUCCAGAGUGGCCUCCUUAGGGAACUAUAUAAGGAAAAGAGGAAGAGAAGAGACACUUAGUUCAAAGAUAUUUUCUCAAGAUUGAAAGGAAGAAGAGAUUCUGACCCCAGCUUCUGUUUCUCAUUUAGCUUCUCUUAUGGUCCAGCUUCUUCUAGGUCCAACCCUGUAACCAAGUGUUAAAAAGAAGAGGCUUCAUCAUCUUGCAUACUUUAAGUACACACAGUAAAAUUUAUUUCUUAAAAAAGAGAAGAGCCCACAAGUAAAAAACUCUAUGCAGUAAGGAGAGUGCUUGAGGAGAGACUCAAAUCCAGGAAACCCAGAGAACAAAAGAGAAUGCUCGUGUGUGGCUUUGGAGAGACAGUGAAGAAGAAUCACUGCUCUGUUAGAGCAGAGAAUACAUACAAGUUUCUAAUGUAGGACCAGAUGCAGGCCACAUGGGAGAGAGCUGUCCUGGGGCCAUGUUAAAUCCCAUGCAAGAAAACUGCCAGAAAGAGAGGGUCUGUGAAGUAAAUUGCCAAGAAGCAGGCCUGAGGGCAAGGCAGCAAAUUUGAGGAGGUCAUUGAUAGGGCAGUCCCUCAUGGAAGCCUAUGAAAGACCACUGAGGCAUGGACAAGAGAAAGAGACCAUCUCAAAUGCCUACUGGACCCCCAAGUCGCAAAGCGAUCUCAGAGCAGUACCAUUUAAGUAAUGAAUUUCCAGACCCCAUUUCUCUCCUCUACCUUCUUACUUUGAAUGGUCAAAAACCUACCUUAGCAAGAUGGGAUAGGAGAGGUGGGGAGAGAAGAUGGAUAAUGACCUCUCCUCCCAUCUCUUUCCCUGGCUAUAAGGUUGUUGCCAUUAGACCCCACCAGAGGAAAGGGAACAGCUACAACCCUGAGUAAAGUUGGAAGCUUUGGCUGUUACCUUGGACUAAGUGUUAAACUGAAACCAUGUUCUGUGAUUUAAAGGGAUUGUAGGAAAUUUUACUACCUAAACACGAAAACCCAAAGGAUCUGUUAAAUUUUCAUCAAGAACAGCAGAGGAGUUUCCCAACAGAGCAAGUGUAAAGGGAUUGAGGGAGGCAAAUAAAGU
ensembl:lncRNA novel transcript